rnacentral:rRNA from 1 species
CGGAGCUAACGCGUUAAGCGUGCCGCCUGGGAAGUACGGUCGCAAGACUAAAACUCAAAGAAAUUGACGGGGACCCGCACAAGCGGUGGAGUAUGUGGCUUAAUUCGAUGCAACGCGAAGAACCUUACCAAGGCUUGACAUGCAUCUCUAAACACGUGAAAGCGUGUGACCCUUCGGGGAGUUUGCACAGGUGCUGCAUGGCCGUCGUCAGCUCGUGUCGUGAGAUGUUGGGUUAAGUCCCGCAACGAGCGCAACCCCUGUGAUUAGUUGCCAGCACGUCAAGGUGGGAACUCUAGUCAGACUGCCCAGAUCAACUGGGAGGAAGGUGGGGACGACGUCAGGUCAGUAUGGCCCUUACGCCUUGGGCUGCACACGUACUACAAUGCCCAGCACAAUGAGAACCGAUACCGCGAGGUGGAGGAAAUCUGUAAAACUGGGCUCAGUUCGGAUUGGAGGCUGCAACUCGCCUCCAUGAAGUUGGAAUCGCUAGUAAUAGUGCAUCAUCUACGGCACCGCGAAUACGUUCCCGGGUCUUGUACACACCGCCCGUCACAUCAUGGAAGCCG